rnacentral:lncRNA from 1 species
CUUCAGUCUGGAUUCCGCGCUGGUCACUCUGUCGAAACUGCUGUGACCAAAGUAUCCAACGAUUUAAUUGCUGCUAAAUCUCGCGGCCAAUACUCUAUCCUAAUCCUCCUUGAUCUUUCUGCCGCUUUUGACACUUGAUCAUCAACAGCUUCUUCACAUUCUUCGUAACUUUGGUCUACGGAUACUGCUCUCUCCUGGUGCUCCUCCUACCUCUCCCAGCGC